GAACUUUCCAAAAUAUCUACAACUAUGGUGGUUUUGAGAAAUCUUCUUCUUUCACUUCAUCUCAGUCCCUUCAGCUUCUUUCCAGCGAGGUAGUCACCCUUGGUGGCGAUUGACCGGAAUACCAACGACCCCAACAUCACUCAGAUCCAGCUCACUGGUGACUCGGGAGUUCUCAGUAAGCAAUUUAAUCUUUGUUGUGUUGUACUCCACCAUGUCUUGUAUCAUGCCUUCUUUUCCUUAACUGUUAUUGUUGCAACUAGACGGAGAGAUCAUCAAUUUUAUCUUUGAAUCCCUAUAUGAAUGUUAUAUUUUAUUCAUGUGUAUGCUCUGUUCACUGAUUCUUGAU